UAUUAUGUAUAUACAUACAAAGAAAGAGAGAGAAAGAGGGGAAUAGGUCAACUUUGCAUAGCUGGAAAUGAGGCACAAAACCUUAUAUUACUGUUGAGAUUUCUCUAUAUAUAUACAUAUUAUAUAUGGUACUGUUACAAGGAGAUUUCUCUAUAAGCCUCAUUAGAUAGAUAGAAAAGAACAUGCAAAUGUUUCUUUCUUUUCCUCCUCUCAAUAGUUAUUCAUUUUUUAGCAGUAAUUAAGGUUAACUAGAAACAACUUUUGUCUCUAGCUUUCUUGUUCGACGAGCAGUUUACUCAUUUUAUGUUGGUAUGAGAGAUUGAAGCUGCCAGCAUGAUCUGGUACUAUCAAAACCGAUUAGCCCGUGUGUUAAAUUUGUGUAUAUAUAUAUAUAAAUAUAUAUAUUUUUCCUGCAAGUAGAUUAACUACACAAGUAAAUUAUUCUGGUAAUUUUUUGUGUGUGUUUUUGUUGGGUGUAGUAGAGUGUGUGAGUGUGUGUGUGUGUGUGUUUAGGGGUAAGGUAAAGAAAGGUUAACCAGGUCAUCUUGCAGCUUCAAUCACUCAUUACCAACAAUUUCUCCAACAAAAUCUAUCUAUACAAUCCAUCAAGCCAAUGAAAUCAACCAUCCGGACCUUGCGGAAUUGCGAAUCCACCCACGUACAAUUCAUAUACACCAAACUAUACAACCACGAUACAUUCUGGACUAAUCAAAUGGCAAGUCACACUUCGUGUACUACAUGUGUUUACAUUUUUAGACACACAUCAAGACUUGCACCAGGCGUAAUUUCAUCGUCGAGACUAACUAUUUUUAGCUUCUAUGUCUGACCCAACUUACCAAGUCCGCGAGAUGUAAAGACCAAAUUUAGCCUAUUUCCUCUUCUAUGUCUUUAUGUAUUUAUGAUUCUUUGGUUAAA